AAACUAACAGGAUUCCCCUAGUAACGGCGAGUGAAGCGGGAAGAGCUCAAAUUUGAAAUCUGGUGGCCUCAGGCUAUCCGAGUUGUAAUCUAUAGAAACAUUUUCCGCGUUGGCCCAUGUACAAGUCUCUUGGAAUAGAGCGUCAUAGAGGGUGAGAAUCCCGUCCUUGACAUGGACUACCAGUGCUUUGUGAUAUGUUUUCAACGAGUCGAGUUGUUUGGGAAUGCAGCUCAAAAUGGGUGGUAAAUUCCAUCUAAAGCUAAAUAUUGGCGAGAGACCGAUAGCGAACAAGUACCGUGAGGGAAAGAUGAAAAGCACUUUGGAAAGAGAGUUAAACAGUAUGUGAAAUUGUUGAAAGGGAAACGAUUGAAGUCAGUCGUGUCUAUUGGACUCAGCCGGUUCUGCCGGUGUACUUCCUUUAGAUGGGGUCAACAUCAGUUUUGAUCGCUGGAAAAGGGCAGGAGGAAUGUAGCACUCUCGGGUGAACUUAUAGCCUUCUGUCGCAUACAGUGGUUGGGACUGAGGAACGCAGCUUGCCUUUAUGGCCGGGAUUUAUCCACGUACAAGCUUAGGAUGUUGACAUAAUGGCUUAUAACAGCG
rnacentral:rRNA from 1 species